UCUUUACAUCUGAUGUUUUUAAUAAACUUGUAGGAAGAGUGACUUGCGAUGGACUGCCUUAAUACGAUUUUUUCUAGGGUACCUGGAUCAUAAUCAAUUUACUGGGAGAAUCCCGGAUGCAUUCUAUAAGCACACUUUCUUGAAAGAAAUGUAUAUUGAAGGAAAUGCUUUCCGGCCAGGUGUGAACCCUAUUGGCAUCCACAAUGUCCAGUACUAUGUCAAUGGUCAGGUUGUCAUCGAAUCAGCAGGGGAUACUCUGGAAUCUUGUAGUAAAGCACAAACGGACUCUUAUCAGGAGGAAGUUGCAGUUGCUUAGGAACAUAUCUAGCUUAUUCACAGCCUAAUAGUUUUUUGGGCUAUUUGUAUUUUAGUCAUGGCGUUUGCAUAACAUCUUGAAUUUGGAAUUUGCAAUGUUUCUAUGGGACCUUCUCAUAUGUAUACAUAGAAAGUUUAUUUUAUAUUGUAUCAAUAUUUAGCACUUGAGUACU